rnacentral:rRNA from 1 species
GGAUGAACGCUAGCGGGAGGCUUAACACAUGCAAGUCGAGGGGCAGCAUAGGGUAGCAAUACUCUGAUGGCGACCGGCAAACGGGUGAGUAACGCGUAUGCAACCUACCCUGUACAGGGGGAUAACCCGGAGAAAUUCGGACUAAUAUCCCGUAAUAAUAUCCGGAGGCAUCUUUGGAUAUUUAAAGUUCCGACGGUACGGGAUGGGCAUGCGUAACAUUAGCUGGUUGGUAAGGUAACGGCUUACCAAGGCUAUGAUGUUUAGGGGUCCUGAGAGGGUGGUCCCCCACACUGGUACUGAGACACGGACCAGACUCCUACGGGAGGCAGCAGUGAGGAAUAUUGGUCAAUGGGCGCAAGCCUGAACCAGCCAUCCCGCGUGCAGGAAGACGGCCCUAUGGGUUGUAAACUGCUUUUCCAGGGAGAGAAACUUACGCACGUGUUGUGUGACUGACGGUACCCUGGGAAUAAGCAUCGGCUAACUCCGUGCCAGCAGCCGCGGUAAUACGGAGGAUGCAAGCGUUAUCCGGAUUCAUUGGGUUUAAAGGGUGCGUAGGCGGGCUAUUAAGUCAGUGGUGAAAUCCUGCAGCUUAACUGCAGAACUGCCGUUGAUACUGAUAGUCUUGAGUUUGGUUAAGGUAGGCGGAAUGUGUAAUGUAGCGGUGAAAUGCUUAGAUAUUACACAGAACACCAAUUGCGUAGGCAGCUUACUGAGCCGACACUGACGCUGAGGCACGAAAGCGUGGGGAUCAAACAGGAUUAGAUACCCUGGUAGUCCACGCCGUAAACGAUGAUUACUCGCUGUUGGCGAUACACUGUCAGCGGCUAAGCAAAAGCAAUAAGUAAUCCACCUGGGGAGUACGGCCGCAAGGUUGAAACUCAAAGGAAUUGACGGGGGCCCGCACAAGCGGAGGAACAUGUGGUUUAAUUCGAUGCAACGCGAAGAACCUUACCAGGUCUUGACAUACUGUUGCUGGGGUUAGAGAUAAUCCGUUUCUUCGGAACAACAGAUACAGGUGGUGCAUGGUUGUCGUCAGCUCGUGUCGUGAGAUGUUGGGUUAAGUCCCGCAACGAGCGCAACCCUUAUCAUUAGUUGCUAACAGUAAGAUGAGCACUCUAAUGAGACCGCCGGCGCAAGCCGGAUGAAGGUGGGGAUGACGUCAAAUCAUCAUGCCCCUUAUGACCUGGGCUACACGCGUGCUACAAUGGCUAGUACAAAGAGUUGCGAAGCCGCGAGGUGGAGCUAAUCUCACAAAGCUAGUCUCAGUUCGGAUUGUAGUCUGCAACUCGACUACAUGAAGUUGGAAUCGCUAGUAAUCGUGAAUCAGCAUGUCACGGUGAAUACGUUCUCGAGUCU